rnacentral:rRNA from 1 species
AUACGGGGGGUGCAAGCGUUGUUCGGAAUCAUUGGGCGUAAAGAGCGUGUAGGCGGCUGGACAAGUCAGAUGUGAAAGCCCUGGGCUUAACCCAGGAAGUGCAUUUGAAACUGUUCAGCUAGAGUAAGGGAGAGGAAAGUGGAAUUCCUGGUGUAGAGGUGAAAUUCGUAGAUAUCAGGAGGAACACCGGUGGCGAAGGCGACUUUCUGGCCCUAUACUGACGCUGAGACGCGAGAGCGUGGGUAGC